rnacentral:rRNA from 1 species
UACGUAGGGGGGCAAGCGUUGUCCGGAAUCAUUGGGCGUAAAGAGCGCGUAGGCGGUCCGGUAAGUCGGUUGUGAAAACUGGGGGCUCAACCCUCAGAGGCCGACCGAUACUGUCGGGCUAGAGUCCGGAAGAGGCGAGUGGAAUUCCUGGUGUAGCGGUGAAAUGCGCAGAUAUCAGGAGGAACACCAAUGGCGAAGGCAGCUCGCUAGGACGGUACUGACGCUGAGGCGCGAAAGCGUGGGGAGCAAACAGG